GAUCAGAGAGAUGAUGGGCAGGACAUUCAAGAUGCCCUGAGUAAAAUUGUUGGUAGGCGUACAGUUCCUCAAGUUUUCAUAAAUGGAAAGCACAUUGGUGGCUCUGAUGAUACAGUUGAAGCUUAUAAAAGUGGAGAACUGGCUAAGCUUCUAGGUAUUGCUGGUAAGGAUGAUCUCUGAUCCAGUACUAUACUCGGUGUCAGUUACCAGAAUAAUGUGCCAAAGCAAUGCACAUGAUGUGACUUUUUCUACUGUUGGACAAGACCGUUAAAAUGGUUUUGCAUUCUGAUUCAAUAUGGCCAUCAAUAUAUGGGCAAAUUAUUAAAA
rnacentral:misc_RNA from 1 species